CAGUCGCCGCGGGAACACGGAGGGAGCUAGCGUUAUUCGGAAUUACUGGGCGUAAAGCGCACGUAGGCGGCUUUGUAAGUUAGAGGUGAAAGCCUGGAGCUCAACUCCAGAAUUGCCUUUAAGACUGCAUCGCUUGAAUCCAGGAGAGGUGAGUGGAAUUCCGAGUGUAGAGGUGAAAUUCGUAGAUAUUCGGAAGAACACCAGUGGCGAAGGCGGCUCACUGGACUGGUAUUGACGCUGAGGUGCGAAAGCGUGGGGAGCAAACAGGAUUAGAUACCCCUGUAGUCCCUGUCUCUUAUAU
rnacentral:rRNA from 1 species